GUGAAAUUAGAGCAUAGAGUUCGCUGCAUUAUAUUUUUAGAUUGAUGUCCAUUUCUCUAGUCUACGGCAGUCGACUAGAGCUUUUGCAAGGAAGCAAAUUAAUUUAUAAAAAGUAAAGUUUCUGCAUAUCGUUCAAUAUCUAAAGCAUCAUGACCAAAAGGUACACAUUCUAAUAUAUUUGCUCUCAAACAGUCCUCUGCCUUUUACUUUCCUCUUCGAUUUGAUCUUCUUCCCUCUUUUUCCGCUUAAGGAAAUUGACAACUUCUCCAAGUGCAACAUCAGCAUCAUCACUCUUCAUUAGCUCCUCAGCUAAAGAAGCAGGGGUAACCUUUGUACUCUCCACUAAUCCAUCAAUUUCUUGGUAGAGUUUGUGGUCAUGAAUUCCAAGAUAGUUCAAAGCCAAAACUCUGAAGCCUUGAGUAGUGCAGUAGGACAUGUGAAUGUGCAUAUCCAUUCGCCCAGGACGAAGUAAUGCAGGGUCCAAAACUUCUUUGUGAUUAGUAGUGAACACAAUGAUUCGUGCUUCUCCAGAGCUCGACCAUAAUCCAUCGAUGCAAUUUAGCAGAGUUGAGAGUGUGAAUGCCUUGGGAUAUUUCUUGGGGUUAAGUUGUUCUUCUUUCAUAAGUUUGGAUCGAUCUCGCACCUCUGAAUGACAAUCUAUAUCUUCAACAACGAGUAUUGAUCGAUUAGUUGUAUUUAACAACAGCCUUCUUAGCUCAACAUUAGAAAAGACACUGGAAAGCUCCAAAUCAUAAAUAUCAAAGUUUAAGUAAUUAGCCAUGGCUGCAAUUAGGCUUGAUUUCCCAGUUCCAGGAGGACCAUACAGAAGAUAUCCACGCUUCCAAGCCUUGCCAACUCUCUUGUAAAAGUCUUUUCUUGCCAAGAACCUGUCAAGAUCAUCUAUUAUUGCUUUCUUCAAUUCUAGAUUCAUUGCAAGGGUAUCAAACGUGGCAGGAUGCCGAAAAUCAACAGAUUUCCAUCUUUCACCUUCAUAUUUAUCAAGCCGAGUGUACAGCUUCAAAACCUUUUCCUUUUGUAUCAAGGCCUUGUAAGUGUUCAAAACAUGGAUCAAAUAAUCAUUCUGAACUAUUGCCCGAUAUUUGUUAUCGAAAGUUAUCUUAUAAGCACUUGUACUAGGAGCCUGAGGAGGGAUUACCAGAUUAUCUGUGGCUUUGCUUAUCUUGGUGUUGGUACGGGUGGUGCCUUCUUCUUCUUGGACACACCACCAUGUAAUGGUUAUGUCCUGGAAUACAUCUACAAUCUUUCCUCCUCCUACAAUGGCAGCAGACACAUUCUUGUGCUGCUCUAACUUGCCAAUUUUGAUUUUACGAUUCUCGGGUCCAAUCUUGGUAGAUAAGUAAGCUCUUGCAGCAUCAUAAAGCUGAUUACGGCCAAGUCCACACCACAUGUCUUCGAUGAUGAAAGUGGCAAAAGAUGGGUUAUGAUAGAAGCAGGACUUGAAUUUUGAGACUGCAUAAUCUUGAAGCUGUUUUGGUAUGACCUGAUUAUAAGCAGUCUUGAAGAGUACCCAGGAUGUUGAGAUAGAUGAGUAGGCAGAGAGUAACGAUGCAUUGGAAGGAAUGAGCUUCAAGUACUGUUCCAUGGCCGGCCUUUGAUACUUUAGGUAUCAGGCAGAAGGACACGGAAGUUGCGGAUCAAAUAAGACACUUUUCUUG
rnacentral:misc_RNA from 1 species